rnacentral:rRNA from 1 species
CGGAAGAAGCAUUGUUAAGGAACUCGGCAAAAUGACCCCGUAACUUCGGGAGAAGGGGUGCCAACGAGAGUUGGCCGCAGAGAAUAGGCUCAAGCAACUGUUUAGCAAAAACACAGGUCUAUGCAAAACCGUAAGGUGAGGUAUAUGGGCUGACGCCUGCCCGGUGCUGGAAGGUUAAGAGGAGAGGUUAGCGCAAGCGAAGCUUUGAAUUUAAGCCCCAGUAAACGGCGGCCGUAACUAUAACGGUCCUAAGGUAGCGAAAUUCCUUGUCGGGUAAGUUCCGACCCGCACGAAAGGCGUAAUGAUUUGAGCGCUGUCUCGACAAUGCAUCCGGUGAAAUUGAAGUACCAGUGAAGAUGCUGGUUACCCGCGCCAGGACGGAAAGA